UUUUUUUUUUUUUUUUUAACUUUCUCAGAGUUGAGCGAGGGUAAAAAGCAAUUGUAACGGAGCAAGCAUGAGUUUUGCUCAAUUUCCAAAGAUUGUGGCCAACUUGCAAGUAGGAUAGACUGAUCAGCUUGCCAGUGUAAAAUUAGUUGUCAUGUUAGCUACUAUUUAAGUUAAGGAUAAAUGAUGCUUUUCUUAUCAAGAUAGAUAAAAUAAAGUUUAGAAUUAUUUGCUUUAGACAAGUUUCAUUCUUGUUAAUCGUUUGCCUAUACCACCAUUUACCCAUUUGUUGGCUUCCAGGUUGCAUCCAUCUUUUGCUAAGAUGCUUCAUUAUAGUACCGCUUCAUUCUUUCCGAACGCCUAAAACAUGUAUGCAAUUUAUUUUCAACUACUGAAUUAUACUAUUAAAAAGUAUUCUCCUUAAGAAAUUAACAACUAAUUAAGCACAAUUUUUUAUCAUUAUUAACUUUUAAUGGGCAUAUUCAAAAAUAUUUUUCCACCGUGCGCAAGCACGGUCAUAUUUUGCUAGUUUAAAUGUAAUUAAAGGCAAGGGGAUUGCCGCUUAAGCUACUCAAUCACAACAUGUACUAGUAAUAAGCAUUUAGCUGUACAUGUCUUUCGAGGUGGACAUAAGGUGUAAACUAUUUAGCCAAACCUGCUUUUUUUUUUAUUUAAUAUUUUCAGGUUCAUUCAUUUAAGAUACGUUUGACAAAAUUGAAAUUUCAAAUCUGACGUUUGAAAACCGACAUCUGAAUCCGUUAAAUUAUUAAAUUAUAAAUACUGAAAUCAUAAUAUUUGAGCUUAUUUUGCAUUAAAUGAAAUCCAACAUAAUUUGGAACCAUUUAAUUAAUUAAAAUGCUCAAUUUCUUGUUAUCAAACAUGUCUAGAAAUGUUAAAGAUCUGAAUAUAUUAAGCAAGUUUAAGUGCUGAAGUGAGUUAUCAAAUAGGGUUUUAUUUUGAUCUGCUACUUUUUUUUUUCCGGAGACGACAAUUGUAGUAUAUCCUAAUCUAUUCUACACUAGGGGGAGGGGGUGGAUCUAACGAGGUCCAGGGAUAAUCCGGAAAGGACUGAACUACCACCGGACCAAAUGGGUGCACUACGUACUCGUCUGGGUUUUUUGAAACAAAUCCACAUUUAAUUGUGGUGAUUGGUGGGAUGGUGGCCACAAGCCCAAAGGCUGAUGGUUCCUUAAUUUCGGAGUUCUGAUGGCAUCCGCUGCAUCAGUGCUGGUAUGAUCGCAACCAAGAAGGAAGAUUUGCUACUCACUAUUAUUGUUCCCAAUGUCUGGUACGAAUGAACGAAAAAUCGGACCUCGAUAUGGAAGGAAAAUCGAGAACAGCACAACUAGCAAUUCAUGUCAAUAGCAAUCACAUGGUGUGCUUAACUCUAAUCGAUAUGGCACAAACAUAAAAAGUAGUCUUGUCUUUCCGGAGGAAGUCCAGGAUCCAAAAUAUAUAGAAGGGAAAGGUGGGGGGAUGUAGGAGGAAUGAAAAUUUUGUGCAAAGAGAGGGAGAUGGAGAGGGCCUAGUCCUUGGAUAAACACCAAAGCCGCGAAGAGGAAGGGAGGAGAAGUGAAGAAAGAGGAAAGACAUUUGUAGAGGGUGUAAAUGAGUCUAAUAAAAUCAAAUGUCAUAGUAUUUAAACUUGUUUAGUUAUUUUAACGAGUUUGAAAUUUUAUUAAAAUUUAAAUAAUUUAUUUGUCAAAUCGAAAUUAAAUAAUUUUUUUCAACGAAUAUAAAAUAUUAUUCAAUUUUAAAUUAAUUAAUUGAUGAAUCAAAAUUGAAUGAACUUUUAUCAAAUAAAACUCGAUUCGAAUAUUGAAUAGUUUGACUCCUCUUCCAAUCCUAUACAUUUGUUUGGCACUUCGGAUGGUGGUGAGUGAAAAAGGCUUUUUUUUUCUCAGGCCUAUGGCCGUAGAUAUAGGAGAGAGAAGGAAACGGCAGCGGCGAUACAGUGAUAAGGGAAAGGCUACUAGGGUUUGAUUUGAAGCAGGAGGUCAAACCCAGACGACAACUAAUGAAACGCCACUGGAUUUGUUGAAAUUUACAGCAUAACUGCUUUCAUGAAAAUGCAACUGAAGUUGCUCGAAAUUACGUUAGGCAACUCAUACUUUAGUGUAGUGAAAAUAUGAUAUGAUUUGAGGUACAAAAUUCAAAAGGACAAACCACUCUUACCGCAAAAUUCAAUCGGAUUACUCUUACAGACCACUAUACUUUUUCUUAUAACCUAAAUGACAAACUGUAGGCACACAAGAAGUAGAACUGCAGAAGAAGAACCAAAGAGAGUAAAAGUCAAUCAGGUAAUGAUGUUCAAUCCUAUGUCAGUCAUGUUUCCUAAUUCUUCUGAUUGUUGCUAGCAUUUGACAUUGACUCACUGCUUGUUCAGAAGUAUAAAGUGCAAUUUUUGUACUUUCAUAUGCAAGUUCCCCCCCCCCUCCUCCCCCUUUCUUUCUUGAGGAUACCAACUAGACAGCAGAAAAAAUUACACAUAUACCUUUAAACCUUGGUGUUGCUGAAUUGUCAGAUGAUAUAUAUAUAUAUAUAUAUAUAUAUAUAUAUAUAUAUAUAUUUGAAAAUGGAUGCUCAAAUGCCUGAGAGUUGAAUCAGAUGAUGAAUUUGAUUUUUGCGCUAUAAAAUGGUAAAAUCGUGCAAACCACGAAUGCAAGGUUGCCAUGCACAUUUUGAUAGACCUAUUUUGAGCUGACACUAGCUUAUAGAAGCCUCUAAAACUCGACAAUCCUUUAGAGGAUCCUGAAUUUGGAUGUUAACCACUUCCGUUUACCCCAGACCUUCAUAAUGGAGUUAGUCCGUUUUGAAGUAUUUACAGAUGCUUCUACAUGAUUGAAGGUUUUGGAUGAUAACAGACAACUAAAGUCCAGAAAGGCUUGAAGAAAAAUACUGCUAGAAAUCUCAUUGUGGAUGUGUAGGAAAACUUUUGGUUUGUAUUGACACAAUUUACGGUGUAAUAAGGUCUUUAGGUCAAUCAUUUAUGUUGUGUGCCUGGCGCUCCAUUUGAUACCCUCAUUUUAAAGACAAUGCAUCCAUGUUUCUGUUAGAAGUCUCAAAUGGGGUGGGGUUCUUAUACAGAUUUUCACCUUUUUUCACCUGUUGUUCUUGAGAAAUUUUGUAUAUGACGAAAGCCUAAUCCAUCUUGUGCCAUCGUCUAUGUCUUUGAUGCUGGAAUUUGUCCUUGCUUCCUGUCCAGUUUCUCUUCUUUACAGCUGGAUUGCUAUUGUGAAUAAAGAGAGGAAAGGAGAGGAAAGAACAAAAAAGUUGCAUGGCCUUCCCCAUUCCAGACAGAGUAAAGAGGCUAUGGGAUGAGUGGAAUCUUCGUGCUGCUGUUCUCAUCAGUCUUUUUUUCCAAGUGGUGUUAAUAUGCUGUGCGGCAUCACGUAAAAGAACAGGAAACAUGACAGUGACUGCUACCAUCUGGUUAUUUUAUCUGCUUGCUGAUUGGUUUGCAGCUUUUGCUGUUGGACUCAUCUCCAACGGUCAAAGUAAUAAUUGUCCUGAGAGAUUUGCAGUAAAUCAAGACCUUGCAGCAUUUUGGGCUCCAUUUCUAUUGCCACAUCUUGGUGGCCCUGAUAAUAUUACCGCCAUCUCGCUUAAAGACAAUGAGCUGUGGAUUAGGCAUCUGCUUGGGCUUAUCACUCAGUUUUCUGCUGUUGCUUAUGUUUUUUCACAAUCCCUGCGUAACGUAUUCUAUGUCCCCACAAUACUCUUGAUUUUUUCUGGAACUAUUAAAUAUGCUGAGCGAACACGGGCUUUAUAUUUAGCUUGUUUGGGUAAUAUUAAGGAUUCUAUGCUUCCACUGCCAGAUGCUGGACCAAACUAUGCAGCUUAUGGUGGAGUACUCAUCUAAGGAAGCUGCUCAAGUUCCAGUUGAGAUAGAGAUAGUGAAGGAACAUGACAGAGGCACUCAGACUUCUGCAAAUCCAGAAGAAGAGAAUUUGAGUCCUGAAGACAUCAGUGAUAUAGAUAUUGUGCAAAAUGGGUAUGAAUUGUUUACCACUUUUAGGGGCCUGAUUGUUGACCAUAUGUUUAGCUUUCAUGAGCGCAGUAAGAACAGAAAAUUUUUCUUCCAAAGGUCUGCAUUUGAUGCUUUCAGAGUAAUGGAGGUGGAGCUCAAUUUCAUAUAUGAUACUCUCUACACUAAGAUGGCUGUGGUACACAGUAAAAAAGGUUAUUGUCUUCGAUUGAUCUGCUCUAUACUUAUAGUGCUUUCUUUUGAGAGAUUUGCAUCACAUCAUAAACCCGAUAUUAACCAUUUUGAUGUUGCUACUACCUACAUUUUGCUUUCGGGUGCUGUUCUCUUGAAUUUUGUAGCCUUUACUAAGCUCAUUUUCUCAGACUGGACCAUAGUCAAGCUUAAGAAUCUCACAGUCAAAACAACUGUAUAUGCAGUCCGUGAAAAGCUGUCAUGUUCCAAAAGGUGGUCUAAUACCCUUUGGCAAUGUAACUUGAUAAACUUUUGUGUGAAUCAGCGUUGGAGAUGGUUAGAUAUUGCAGCUGAAACCGUUGGAAUCAAGGAUGUUCUUGAUGAAAUGUACUACAAGGAGGACAUUGUCAUUCCAGAGGACUUAAAGGAUUUCAUCUUUAUUGAGCUCAAGGUUAAAGCUACCAAAGCAAAAACCACAAAUGUUGCUAAAGAGAUAUACUCAGCAAGAGGUGAUUUGGUACUGUUGGAUUACACCAAUCACUACCCAUAUCCCAUCAUUUCAUCAAGUGUAGGUGACGAAGUUGAAUACGAUGAGAGCCUGUUGCUGUGGCAUAUUGCCACUGAGCUAUGCUAUUGCACGAGUCCUGAUGAUGGCAAUUCCAAUCGCAAUUAUUGUAAGCUUAUAUCUGAUUAUAUGUUGUAUCUUUUGGUUAUGAGGCCUAAUUUGAUGUCUGCAGUUUCUGGCAUUGGACAAAUUCAAUUUCGGGACACAUGUGAAGAAGCUAAGAUGUUCUUCAGCAGGUGGAAAUCAGAACUAAUUAUAAGAACCCCAGACUUGGGAAUUUGCAGAAAAUUAAUCACCUGCUGCAUAGCCCAGAAUGGAUUAACUGGAAGAGAAUCAAGUUCAGCAAAUCGAAAAAGAAAUGCAUGCGAAAAGCUACUUAAUGUAAAUGCUCUUGUUAAAGCCAUUGAGGUGAAGGGAGAUAGAAGCAAAUCAAUAUUGUUCGAUGCCUGUAGGCUUGCAAAGGAUUUGAAAAAGUUGAAUGAUAAGAAAAGGUGGGAGAUAAUGAGUAAAGUGUGGGUGGAACUGUUGUCCUAUGCUGCCAGUCACUGCCGAGCAAAUGCUCAUGCUCAGCAGCUCAGUAAAGGUGGUGAGCUCAUUACUUUUGUCUGGAUACUGAUGGCUCAUUUUGGAUUGGGAGAGCAAUUCCGAAUUGAGGCGGGACAUGCAAGAGCAAAACUGAUUGUCGGAAAAUAGCAACUAAGAGUGACCAUUUUCAUUCUAGCUGUAAAAUGAAAGAGUCCUCCAACUUGGAUGUACUCCUUGACUUAGGUGAGAUUUGUGCGUUGCAAAAGACUUCCCUUAUCCCUUUUUUUCUUUUGAGUUUCAAUUUCCGAGCCACAAUUCACACUAGUGCUUUUUAUAAGAUGUGCUGAUUUAUCUUAUGUUUCCUGUGGCUUUGGUAUCACGUGAGCAUUAUGUGAAGUUUUUUCAUAUGUCAUUCACACACAUUAGGAUGUGUGUUCCAAUAUGUUGCCUGUGCUUUUCUUUCUCUGUUUGAAAUACGAAAAUACUUUUAUGACAAAAACAUGAAAAGCUGGAUUACCAAUAUUUCAUGGGGAGAAGGAAUUGCUGACUGAAUCUCAUCUCUCCAACCAAAUAACUUGUGAAAGGCAUAACAGGUGUAAGUAGUACAGUAGUAUCCGUCUUGUGAAACACAGUCACCUCAGUUCAUCUUCCUCAUUUGAUACUGAUACUGACAUCUUUUGUAGAACUUAAAACUUACACUUUUCCUCUUUUAGCGAAUCAACAAUCAGUUAUUCCAUUUUUCCGAACGAAUAUUCACAUCAUUUGAGCUGAUUUCAUCGCUUUUCUCAGCUCCAUGUUAGCUAAGGACGGAGGUAAAAUAGAAUUCAACUGAGGAGGUUCUCUUAUAAAACAAAGAAUAAACAAAAUGAAGUUUCUAAUUCUUAUAAUCUUAUUAUGAUUAUCAUUAUUUUGUUUUUUCGGUUUUUCGGUUUCGACCCUUUCUUUAGUGAGUGCAGACUGCAGACCAUAAUACACGUCAAGGCAACUGCAAUGCUAGUGGUAAAAAGUAAGAUAAUGUUAUUUUUCCAGGCCAAACCAUUUUUUUUAACCUCCCACCCUUCCCACUCCCAAUUGUUGAGUCCAAUAUUUGAACCCUCAACCAAAUAGCGGGGGAAGUCCCUGACUACUUGGCCAACUUAGAUUCUUCUGUCUGAGAAAACAAGUUUCAUCGGCUAAAAGACUCGCAUCUGAAAAGUGUAACAUGUUGUUUUCAUAGGUAUCACGAACUAUGUCUUCUGGAAUUGUGCAGAUGUCAAAAUGUCAAUUCUUUUGGGCUGAAGAAACAAAUGACCAUUUCUUGUCUUCCAGCAUCAUGAUUUACACAUUUGCGAUUUUUUCCCUCUUCUAGUAGUGCAGGAUCUAGUUUGACAUUGACUGAUGGCGAUUGUACUAUGAUGCAUUGACAGCAAAGGGGGGAGGUGGUGCGUGUCAUUUCCAGCAGAAUUUGCUGGGAUGAUAUUAAAUGUGCAUAUAAGACCAGGCGAAUAUCAACCCUCCUUUUACUAUGUUAGGCUGCCUGAUUUAUGCUAUCUGUUCAUUUACCAUUGACCAAGCGCGGCUCCAUGGUAGACGAACGGUUUAUUUUCAUCAAUGGUGUGCCAUUGUCAUGUUCUCAAUUUGCUCCAUCAGAUUGCCUAUUGCUUGUCUCGCUUGCGACAUGGAUUUUUUCAUAUGUUUGUCAAAACUUUUUAGAUAUAAGUCAUAUAACUAAACUUUUUCGCUAAUGCCCAAAUCCAACUUUUUCGCUGUUGAUUUUGUUUUCCUUUUUGGGUAUAACAGGUAGGCAUCCAAUCUUAUGGUUAAAGAGCAUAUAAGACCCACACGAAUGGAUAGGCAUGAUGAUUAGUAACUGGAGCCAUGAGUGGCUAUAACAAUUCAAUUUAGUUCUUCUGCGUACUCUUUUUGUUGACUAAUAUAUUUGCAAGAUCCAGAAAGGUGUAUUUGUGGAGAAUGGGCUGGGACGGUUGUCAGGUGCCACCGUCCCAAAUGAUGUAUGGGAAAGAUUUUCUCAACAAGGCAAAUUUUGAUAAUGUGCAGCCAAAAGCAAGUCACAUAACUUUGAAAUUACAAACAUAUAUGGAUCUACACGAAUAUUAAUUAGAUACAAUGUCAUUGUUUCAAAAUUGAAUAAGUAAUUUACAUUGAGUUACAUUUUGUUUAGAAAGUGUUGUACAACUUAGGCAAGUUAAGAACUGAAAAUCUUUUAAACUUACAUUUUGUUUAUCCGUUCUUCUUUCAACUUACAUUCAGCUGUAAUGGCUGAAUUUAAAGUGGAAGCGAUGCCUCUACUUCAACUUCAACAAUGUUGGAAACAGUUAUUGUCGUUAGCUACCUCAACUCCACACCAUUUAUACAUAAUGUGCUUGCUGUGUAUUCCAGGCUGGGAUUUGGACACAUUGCAGUGUUGGAUUGUGGUGGGGUUUAUUACCAAAUCAAUGGAUUAAAUCCUUUAUAUAAAGGAGGCAAACGAACAAUUUUAUUACACUCAAAAUAUAUUUAAUAACAACACACAAAAUAAAUUUAUAUUGGACACUAAUAAUUGAGCCUCACUCUUGAGAAUAGUUGCUCUAAUAUAUCAGUGCCUCACUCUUGAGAUAUCUGCUCAAACACUCACUCAACAAUUGAACUCGUUCAUUUCCUAUCUUUCACUUGAGCUUUGGUGCCCUUCAACUGAGGAAAUGGCAUUUAUUUAUACUAGUAAGGAUCCUACAAGCGGCUGUAAUUUUUCUCUUCUCAUUCAAUGCCCAAUUGCUAGAAAAUCCGGUGAACUUCGCGAGUAAAUCUGGUUCAAGAUACAAGCACGAACCAAGUUGAUCAGCCGCCCACGUACAGCUUCAAGACUGGACUUUGGCAAUUUGUCUAUUGCCAAUAAAUGAGUAAAACAAACACUCCAAAGCCAUAAAAUUUAUUCUGAACACCCUAACUAAAGGUUCAUCACUUUUUAGCACAAACAACAUUUUCAAAAAGCAUAUUAAUUAAUAAACCUCAAUGAUAGAUCUCAAUCCCAAUACUGCCGUUAUCUUAUAGUCACUGAAGCCUGCCUCCGUGAAAAGUUUCGCCCAAUCUUUCUCAUUUCUUUGCCUUCCUUUGAGUAGAACCAUCACUGCCAUAUCAAAGAACAGUUGGGUCUCAAUCGCCUCAUGAUCAUCUUCCCCUUUCUGCAGACUUUUGCAGAACAUUUCAACAAUUAUCACUUUGCCUCCUUUUUCCUUGCUAGGAAUUGCUUCUUUACAUUUUUUUAGUAUUUGUACACACUCAUCAUCGCUCCAAUCAAUCAAUAUCCACUGCUUGAUUGCAAAACCAAUCAAUUUUUUUGUUAGAAACAUUACAACCCAUUUAAAGCUUUUUGCGUCAAAAAGCAAAAACAAAACUAUUCUCUUAUAGUACCAAACACACGCAAUCAAUUUGACGUUUAAAACUUUGUUCUUUUUUUUCCCCUCUUCAUGAUGCAGUUCUUAGAUUAAGCAUAACCUCAAUUUCUACUACUCAAUCUUACUUUUGAAAUUGACACUUCUUAUAAUUGGUGAAUUUUAAUCUUAUGAUCUCAGGCAAUAAGGAUAAAAAUCUAAAUAACACUACUAUAAAAAAAAUUUGUCAACUAGAAAACGUGCAACAUCGAUUUCAUACCUUCAUUAAAACAGCAUCUGCAGGAGGAAUGGCUUCAAACUUGUUACCUCCAACAUAGGCCAAGUUCUUACUACUCUCCAAGCCAUCAACAACAUGAGGAAGAUCAAACACAGUGCAUUUCAGGCGAGGGAAAGCAUCAGCAAUUGCCUUAGCAAAGGUUCCAGUUCCACCUCCAACAUCUACCAAUGAAUUCAAACCCUCAAAAACAUGCUUACAAUCUUUGGUCACCACGCUACUAACCAGCCGGGUAUCACUAGCCACUGCUUCGUUAAAGAAUUGAUUAAGCCGCGGCUCAUGGCUUGCAAGAUCAUAAAGUGAGCUGCCAUGGCAAGUAUAAAACGGGGUUUCAUCACUAUUCUGAAACCACUGGCUGAGAUGGUGCCAUGGAUCAGUCAAGGUGGGAUCGAGAAUGGCUAGUAAAAACGGCGUCAUGCUAAAAGGGUUACUCUUUAAAAGGAGUUCAGAAGCAGAAGUAAGCAGAUAACCCUUUUGAUUAUCAUUCUCAUUUCCAGGAAUCUUUGCUUCAAUGAAGAAGCCUGAGUGGAUCAAAAUCUGCAUGAGACGAUAAACGAAAGGGGCUUUUGCAUUCUUGAUGGGAAGAGCAUCAAUCAAUUGAUCAAGGGUCAUCGGCUGGCCAUGUUUGUGAAUAACGUCUGGAAUGCCUAAUUGAAUUGCACAUUUGACGGACAUAGAAUUUAUGAAGUUGAAUAUAUGGUUCCAUAUGUGAGCUUGUGCUUGAAAAAGCUCACCAGUAUGAUCACCAAUAUUUCUAGCCAAAUCCAUUUUUUUGUUUGAAAUUCUAGGAUUUUUUUUCGCUUUUUGGUUGGGAAUUACAAGUAGAACUCGCAUUUUAUAGGCCGGGUAUGGGAUUCACAGGAAUAACGUUGCAAUAGUUUCUUCUAAUAAUAUGACAACAACCGGUUAGAAAAAUGAAUAAACUAUGAAAUCAACUCAGAAACAAGGAUCCAAAGGCAAUAAAUGAACUCAAUUAUUAAGUGAAUCUUUGAGCAGAUAUGUCAAGAGUGAAACUCUAAUAAAAUUAGAACAUAUAUUCUCAAGAUCUAGACUCAAUUAUUAGGCGUCUAGUAUAAGUUAAUUUUAUGAGUAUUGUCAUUAUAUACACCUUCAAUGGAAUAAAACUAUUUAUUUGCCUCAAUUAUUAGAAGAUUUAAUCCAUUAAUUUGAUACUAGAGUCCACCACAAUUCAACAGUCUUUUCCUGACACACGUAAUUUUGGAUAGAUUUCGUCCUAAUUGUAUGAAUGGAGAAAGGAAAGUUUAUACAAGUGUUAGACUAACCAAAAUCCUCGCAAGAAAAAAAUAUAAAGUUGUAAAAAAUUUGGAUUUGGAUAUUUGAAGAAUUUAAACUUUGGCCGAUCAUAUUAUUUUGAACGCCAGAAUGGGCUGCUAAAUUUGUUGUGGUGCAAAUAGUCUGUCAUUUCGACUUACAUUGCACCAUUUUGGCCUACAAAACCUACCACUGCUUGGCAAUACUGUCAAAUGCUUUCCUAGGCUUCCUCUAUUAUAGGAACAUUGGGCUUCAAACAUUUUAAAAAGGAAUCACGCCACAGAAUUAAAAAUAUACACAUUUCUUUGGUGUAAAAAAAGAUCUUUAAUUAUAUUUUGUCACUUUUGGUUUUGUUUCCAACAUUACUUGCAUAUGUCUUGAUAUUGGUGUGUGCAGAUAACCCUUUUCAUUUCAUUAUCAGGAAGCUAAUUUGCUUUUAUGAAGAAAUCUGAAUGGAUAAAAUCCACUUAAGACAAUAGACUAAAAAAAAAAAAGGCUGCUGUUUUCUUGAUUGGGAUAGGAGUGAAUUGGCAGGCCAUGUUCAUAUCUGCCUUCGAAGAUAAAUUACACAUGUGAGGAAAAGAGAGUUUAUGAAGUUGAAUAUAUGGUUUCAUUAGCAUUUUUUUUAAAAAAUUUUUUUAUCACUCUAGAAUGGUUUCGAUUGCAAGCGUAGAAGAAAUUGGAAUUUAUAACGCAGGUCACGAGGCUAAAAUAAAUCACGUAGCAAUAAUUUCUGUGAAUAAACUUAACAAAGUCAACAAACAACGCCCUAUCAAGAUGAGCCUAUCGAGAAAAAUAUAUAUGUAAAAAAAUGAAAAACAAAUAACACAAUGAGAUCAACUAAAAACGCAUUAAAUUUGACAAAUUUCAAUUAACCUUUGUCACAACCAUCUGCAACCUACCUCAACUCCAUUUCAAUGAGUUGCAACUCAUCCAAAUUGGCUAGGCAACUUGUCCAAAGAUUGAUUGUUUCAACAUCUUAUUGGAGAUUAAGAAUUAAAAGUAGCAUAAACAAAGCUUAAUGCAAUAAUGGCCUAAUAUCCAUGACAGGUUGUCGAAGCCUGUGCAAUAAUAAAUACCUGCUCAAACUAAAAGUAAUUUCUGUAGAUAGUGGUGAGUAGGGUCGAAUCCACAGGGACUGGGAGUAAUUGUUUCUUUUCAAAUUCACAGUGACAAUGGGGUGUUUUUAUGCAGAAGGUGACAAUAAAAGAAGUUCAAAUAAAAUCUAAGAAACUACUAAAAAUUAAUUAACAAAUUACUAAAAUCAAAUGAAUGAUAAUUAAGGAUCUAGCCAAGGAAUAACUUCAGCAAUGGUUCACCUAAUUGAUCAUCGAUAAGCAAAGACAAUCCCAAUUAUUUACUAAUAAAUAGGUUAUAACUGCCAAACAAGCGAUGACAGUCAACCCCUCCUUACUGUGUCGAUGAUUAAGGUACGCCCGUUAAUCACUGCUCUAAUUGAGAAAUAAUCCUAGGUACGCUCGUAGAAUUUAAUUUUCCAAUUGCCUUACGUAUUAGAGGAGCCCUAUUCUAACCAAAUAACGCACUACCAGGGUUAUUUUAGAUUAGCCCGCGUAUUCCCCUGACACAAAUCUAAUCGUGCCAGUUGUCACUAUUUUGAGGUAAUUAAACAAUUACGGAUUUAAUACCUCAAUUGACAAUAGAUUAUCAAAUCAAUUAAUUAUCUGGAUCCAAGACAAUCAAUUAAUUAAACAACCAUAAGCACUGUAACCAGAGAAUAUGCAAAUACCAAUAAAUAAAAGAAAAAGAUAAAAUUAAAUCGAUCUCACAGUUUUAGGCGACUCAAAGCAUCCGUUGUCCCUUGACUAGAGAAAAUGGAUUUAGCUCAUUGUUGAUGGGAAAACCCCAUACAAAGCUGACGCAACAGUAGCGGCCAUCGUCAAAUUCAAUUCGGAGAAAUCAAGGAGAAAGACAAGCUACAGGAAGGAAUUCAAUGUUUUCACUUGGUCUUCACAUACGGACUAGAGAAACCACAAGAAGACGAAAUGGAAAAGUCAAACGCUAAAACUAGAAAUUGCUUUCUCCUAACAUGCGUGGAGUAAAGCAAUGAAAAGCUAGGAAGAAAAGUCAAAGUGAAGCUAGAAAAAGAAAGUGCUUGUUCUCUGCAAUCUAAUAGUUCCUAUCCUAAUGGCCUAUUGCUACUGUCUGGCCUUGUGCGGCGGCCCCCUUUCGGAGAGGAAGAAGAAGCUCCCCUUGUGCGGCGCUCUAGCCUCCAGUAAAAUAGAGGCCUUUGCCCUGCUCUCUUCUUUUGAAAUUACCAAAAUGGGCAAAAGUCUUCCUUUGCCAAUAAUGCCCCCGGGAUAAGCUCUGUGCCUUGGACUCUUUUUCUAUCAAAUUGGCACUUGUUAUCAUAUUUUCGUUCUACUCCCUGAAAUAAAUGUGAAAUAUCAAAAAUGAGUAGAAUCUAGAAAUUAAUCCACAUCAGGUCAGAUAAUAGGGGAAAUUAAUAAUAAAAUAAAUGAUAAAAUUGCAACCUAUCAAUUCCCCCCACACCUAAACCAUGCUUGUCCUCAAGCAUGAGUGACAGGUUGUCGAAGCCUGUGCAAUAAUAAAACCUGCUCAAACUAAAAGUAAUUUCUGUAGAUAGCAGUAAGCAGGGUCGAAUCCACAGGGACUGGGAGUAAUUGUCCUUUCCAAAUUCACAGUGACAAGGGGGGUGUUUUAUAUCAGGAGUGACAAUCUAAACAAAUCAACUAAAAGUAAAAUAAUAAAAAUAAAAUAGCCAACUAGAAAUUAAAUAACAAUUUACUAAAAUCUAAUGAGUGAUAAUUAAGGAUCUAGCCAAGAAAUAACUUCAGCAAUGGUUCACCUAAUUGAUCAUCGAUAAGCAGAGGCAAUUCCAAUUAUUUAUCAAUAAAUAGGUUAUAACUGCCAAACAAGCGAAGACAGUCAACCCCUCCUUACUGUGUCGAUGAUUAAGGUACGCCCGUUAAUCACUGCUCUAAUUGAGAAAUAAUCCUAGGUACGCCCGUAGAAUUUAAUUCCCCAAUUGCUUUACGUAUUAGAGGAGCCCUAUUCUAACCAAAUAACGCACUACCAGGGUUAUUUUAGAUUAGCCCGCGUAUUCCCCUGACACAAACCCAAUCAUGCCAGUUAUCACUAUUUUGAGACAAUUAAACAAUUACGGAUUUAACACCUCAAUUGAUAAUAGAUUAUUAAAUUAACUAAUUAUCCGGAUCCAAGACAAUCAAUUAAUUAAACAACCAUAAGCACUGCAAUCAGGGAAUAUGCAAAUACUAAUAAAUAAAGGGAAAGAUAAAAUUAAAUCGAUCUCACAAUUUUUAGGCGAUCCAAAGCAUCCGUUGCUCCUUAACUAGAAAAAGGGAUUUAGCUCAUUAUUGAUGAGGAAAACCCAUGCGAAAUCGAUGAACAAAAUCCACGCAAGAGUGAAGCAAGAAUCGCGGCCAUUGUCAGGGAGCAAUACUACUCAGAGCCACGACGGAAAAGUCAAAGAGCACAAAGCAAAGAAAAAGGAAUAGUCCAAUACUUUUCUUUUGCUCCUGACAUUCACGAAGGAAGAAAACAACUACUAAGAGUCUUUACUACAACCGAAGAAGAAAAGUCAAAAGACUAAAAGCUAACUACUGAAGAUUGGGUUUCCCUCUGUACCAUUCGUUCCUCUCUAAUCAUCUCUAAGGCCUUCCUGUGCGGCGGCCCCUUGCGGAGAGGACCUCCUGUGCGGCGCUCCCCCUCCGGAGACGAAGAAGAAGACCCUUGCCUUCAGCCCUUCGUUGCUCCUUUUAAUGCUUUUGUCUUCGGCAAUUACUAAAAUGGGCAUAAGCUUGCCUUUGCCAACAAUGCCCCUGGGGUGAGCUCUGUGCCUUAGACUCCUUUUUUGUCAAAUUAGCACUUGUUAUCAUAUUUUCGUUCUACUCCCUGGAAUAUAUGCAAAACACUAAAAAUGAGUAGAAUCCAGCAAUUAAUCCACAUCGGGUCAAGUAAUAGGGAAAAUUAAUAAUAAAAUAAAUGAUAAAAUUACACCCUAUCAAUGAGAACAGCAGACAAGUACCAAUAUUUGAUAGUGACUAUUGCUCUAUCUCACAAAUUGCCAAGAUACCAAGAAAAACAAUAAUCAAGCAUCAGUGAAUAAGAUCCAAGAAAUAUCACUUUGGUUAGCUUCUAAACCACAAACUCCUCUAAUUUCAGGUUAACUAAUCUAAGAAAAAGGAAUGACGCAUAACAUUUAUCAGCAAAUGGUCCAACUAUUAACCAAAAUCUCAACAUUAAAUCCACAAAUCGGCAAGCUGACUUUUAUUAUACACUAACACAACAUUCACUUUUUUUUCACAUUUUUUUUCUACUUUUCUCUCUUUUUUUUUUUAUUCUUCUUUUCAAUAGUAACAAAAGACUUAGUCGCUAGCCAUUAGAGCCUUUUGACGCGAACUCCAACAUUGGCCAGAUGAAAGAGCCCGGUUACUCAGCUUCUAUCGCCACGUGACCACGUACUCAUAGCAAUUACUACCUUUUGACGCGAGAAUCAACACUUUUGGUGAAAAUUCCCGGUUACUCGGUAGUAAAUACUAGCGGAGUACAGUCAAGUUUAUGCAUAGCUAAAAAUCACAAAAACUCAAUAUAACUCAAGAACAAAAAGAAAACUUGCAUCAGCUAGCCUCAUUUUCAAACAUGGAGAACUAAAGUUAAUAACCGGACCAAUUCACAUGAAAAUGCCAAUAAUCAUUCCCUAUGCCUAGGAAAGUUAACCAAAAAUUAUAAGAGUAAAACAAUCAUCGAUAUUCACCAAAGAGAUGUUUUUGGAUUCAACCACAUUAACUUGAUACCCUUUUAUUAUUAAAAUUGGCAAAAGUAGAAAUAGAGGCAACAAUCCAACAUCAAAUUUUGGCAUGCACUUACGAGCCAAUCACUAAAAAGAAGAAAAUGAAAAUGAACGAAAGAUACUAGCACAGCUGCCCCCCCACACCUAGACCCUACAUUGUCCUCAAUGGAGGAAUUAAAGCAAUUAAAGUGAAGAGGACAACGAAACUUCCCUCUCGAGUGGCUAAGGGUAUUUGGCAGCUGCGGAGGGAAACCAACGUGGUGAAGUACAUGCCCAAGUUCUGAGACAUCAUAACUCAAUUCAACCAGCAAAUGCACAACUCUGUCCAACCAAAAUCUCAACAAAGUCUCCAAGUGGAUAAUUAAUUUUCAACUCAGAAGCGGCAAUUCUAGCAAUAGCAGUAUAGAAAUUAGACAAUAACCACACAAUCACAAGUUUUCCCUUUUUAAUCAGGCAGCCAACCCAUUAGAAAGAACAAAUAUUAGUCAAAACACCCCAACCAGUACCACUGGUGCACUCCACAGAUACUGAAGCAACUUAAAUGGCAAACCCAAUCAACAGAAUGUACAUGUGAGGCACCCAAGGUCUAUACCAAUUUUUCAACAAAGCAACGAUUGCAAUCAAUAAUCAGUAGUGGUCCUAAUUUACUCAAAUGUAGAAUCAAUGCAGCCCAACAAUUCAACUGAAUGCAAAUUUAACUUGUUACUGAUCCAAAUUUAACUUGAUAUCUGUAGCAACUCACUUGAAGAAGAGAUUAGUACCACUCAACCAGCAGCAGGACCACAAUCAGCACCACCAUUGCCAGACCGUCAAAUAAACCAAACCAGAACAAGAGACAAAUAAAGCACUACCAGUAGAAUAGUAGAUAAUGGGGUUGGCUUGUGGAAGGCAGUAACAACGUUAACGAGGAGUAAAAGCCUACUAUACCAAACAAGAAUAGAAUCCAAACUCCAAAGGUCCACCACUAGCACACAUUCUAGACUACUCACAAGUCAUAUUCACCAAUCAGUCCUCAGCAGGCAAGUCUCCAAAAGUUUUCUUUGUUUUUCUUCUUUUAGUCAAGAACCAAAUACCAAUCAAAGGUCUGGUGGGCCUUCAUGAUAUCUAUUCAAUCUUUAUCACAUAAUUAAGAAUCACCAAUCCAUACAAAUCCGUGCACUUGUAUAAUUUUUCAAAUCAAUAGUUUUGUAGAUCAGAGGGAUUGCAUUUUUUGGGAAUUUUCUUUACUAUAACAACUUUUAUGAUGCGAUGUAUGUUAAAUGAAAAAUGAUUCAAAAAUUAUGUACAACAAAUAUUUGAAAAGAUUUUCUAAGAGAAAAUUGUUCAAAAUGUCCCUCACAUCUCAUCAAAUAAAAUUUUCCACCCUUCGCUUUUGAAAUACUAAAUUUAUGUCCCUCACAAAAUCAAAUCGAUAAAAUUUGGUUGCUAUUUAGAUUUUUUACCACGUUUUACCUUGAAUCCAACACGUGACCAAUGCAUGAUCAUUUUUUAGGGGCAAAAACGUUAUAUCCCAUUUAUAAUUAAAUAAAUGACUGGAUCCAUAUUCAUUUUUGUUCCUAGAAAUAGGAUUUGAUCUAAAUCAUAUUUAUUUUUUUCUCUUAAAAAAACGGGAUUUGACCUAAUCUAUAUUCACUUGUGCCAUUGAAGAAAUGGAACCUGACCUUUUUGUAUAUAAAAAAUAACUGUAUGUGGACCAAAUGGUGAUUUUCAGGCUCAAAAGUUAUCAAAAACUUGAUUUGGUACCAAAAUUUAUUAAUUUGAAUUUAUAAAGGAGGUAAAGUUAACAUUUUAAAAGUGAUAGGCAAAAAAAUUCAUUUAACAAAAUAUGAAGGGUAUUUUAAUGAUUUUUCUAUUUUUCUAGAUAAUGCCAAAAUAAUAGGAAUCCAAAUGGCUUUUAAUCAGUCUUUUUUCCUUGUUCUUGUGCUCCUUGCAUCUAGUUAGUCUAUCAGACUUACUUUGUUUUAUCAUUUACAUAAAAUCAUAACUAACACAAUAGUCUCUCUCUCUCUCUCUCUCUCUCUCUCUCUCUCUCUCUCUCUAAGCAUAUUUCAUAUAGAAUUCAAAUUAUUUCGUAUCAUCUAAUAUGAAAGGAAGGAAAUAGUAUUUUUCGAAGGACACCUUCGUGAAACAUAUGGCCUUCCUAUUUCAUUUAUUGCUGCUUUAUACAGUUUCUUAUUUUUUUUAAAAAAAAAACCAGAAUACUUUUUAUAUUAUGUACUUGAAGUCGAGUUUUGAGGAAAAUGCAGUUUUAGUCCUUAAUGUUUCUAUCUGUACAGUUUUAGUUUUUAAAAUUUUAGCAAAAGUAAAUUUGGUUGUUAGUGUUUAAUAUAUGUAUAGUUUUAGUCCUUAAAGUUUUGAUAAGAGCAAAUCUGGUUCCCAGUGUAUCCAAUAAAAAGCAGAUUUAGAACAUUUGAAGAAUUUUUCUCAAAUACUAACAAAAUGUAGUCAUGUUUAAUCAUGUGUCCAUUAAAUUAAAUUUCAAAAUAAAGAAUCAAAAUAGUGGCAAACUUUAAAUAACAAUAAUAAGGACUAAUUGCUUAUGUCCAAAUUAAUUAACUAAGGUUUCGAAGCAUUCAAUUCAUCGAUCUAGAAUUCAUUUUCAUAUUCUAAUCCUAUUACCUUUAAUCAACAAAUCAUAGUACUUAGUUUUUCAUAUAUAUAUUCUUUAAUAAUUAGUUACUAACGUUCUAUCAUGUAAGUUAUUCUUAUUGUUCAACAUUACUAGUUAUUUUGCUUCUUUUUUAAGAAAUUUAAUUCAACAAACAUGUGAUUGUCAUGACUGAUUCCGUCAAUAUUUGAAAAAAUCCAUCAAUUGUCCUAAAUAAUGCUUCCAAUUUGUAAUACUGGGGACCAGAUUUACUAUUGCUAAAAUUUUACGGACUAAAACUACACAUGUGCUAAACAUUGAGAAUCAGAUUUGUUUUUAACAAAAUUUUAAAAACUAAAACUGCAAAGGAGCUAAACAUCAGGGGCCAAAACUAUAUUUUUUCCAACUCGUAAUACUUUACUACUACUUUUUGAUAAUGGCUUAAUGGGGGUUCAAAAUGGAGUACUCACGUAUGUACUCAAAAAUAUCACUUAAACAUUCUGGGUGUAAAAACUUUUGUGGGUGACUCAGCAUAAGAUCAGCAGUUUUUCUUCUUAUUCUCUUUGUUUAAUUUAUGGUAAGAAAAUAUCGUUUCACGUUAAAAACUCUUAUACCUCAAAAAAAGCUCAUAUAUAUAUGUGUGUGUGUGUGGGCGCGCACGUGGGAAGACAGUGGUAGAGUGGGUCCAAAUGUUAGGCCAGCUACUGCUUUGUUGUGUGCUUGUUGAUAGUGAAAUUACUUAAGAAUUUUAGAAAAUAAUACAGAAAAGAAAAAGACAACUUUGUCUCAAAGUUACUUUAAGAAUGAAACAACCUGUUGCUGACAAUGAAAAAAUCCCGAGGAGAAAUAUUGCAUCCACAAUAAGAGAUUUACACAAUACAAAAUAUAGAUCAUGACAACAUCAGGUUUGACAAGCAGCUUCAACAGCAGGAGGACUUUGCUGGACAAGAAAUCCAGCAAUUGCAGUGGAUCUGUGUUCAGCAGGUGCCAUUACACCGUAAACUAUAUCCUCAAAACAGCGUUCAUGGGUAUGGGUACAUGGAUUUUCUCCAUGGCCAUCCUUAAUCCCAAAUAUUUUAAUAAGCAUUUCGUCCUGAAGGAGUUUUCUAGAGGGCUUGGUGUACUUUUUAAUUGACUCCUCAGCUUCAACUUCAGACAGGAAAUCUGCAAGUUAAAAUAACAUUUUGCACCUGAAAUUAAGUUCUUCAUAUCAGUGUCUAUGAAAUCUAAAACAUUGUAUAUAAGCAUGGUUACUACACAAAAAUAUAUUUAAUAUUCUAGAAUCAUUUUUUUAGGCAAAUGUUUGUUCUUUAUUGAUAUGCAGGAAAGCUUUACAAAGGAGAGUCAGAAGUCUCCAUAUACAUGCACGUCACAAGUGUAACUACACUAUAUUGUUAGGGUAUCAGGCCAAUUAUUUGAAAAGGAAAAGACCAACAAUUUAAUAGAAAACAAUAUCUAGCAUGAACGAUGAACAACACACAAGAAUUAACGUGGUUCGGCUUAAUUACCAAACCUAUAUCCACGGAGAGAAAAACUUGUUCUUACUAUGAGAAAAACACCACAAGAUUACAACUUGAUUCCCAAGCCCCAACUCUUGUAUAACCCUCUCACCCACUAAGAACUCUCUCACUUCUUUCUUGUGUGUCUUUGUAGUAUGCCAACCCACCUAUUUAUAGGGAACAUUACUGCCAAAAAACCAAAUAACAAUUGAAAACUAAUACUAUUUCCUAAACUCAUAUAGAGUAGAAAAUAGUAUCUAGCUAAAUAGGAAUUUACUUGACUACUACUUCAAGUAACUAAAUCCAAUUAGGAAACUAGUUCCCACACCAAAUAGGAAUCUUGACUAAAAGAAAUUAAGCCAAUUUCCUAACAUAUAUAAUUCAUUAAUCAUGUAAAGAAAAUGAAAACCAUGACUAGUACUACUACUACAUGCUAAAGAGUCUAAUCCUGCAAACAGGAUUGGGGCAAACCCCAUUCCAAAACUAGUUGCCAAUUUUCUUUGGUGCGAGGAGCUCUUGGCCAUGAAAUAACAGUCAUUUGUACUACUUUGUUGAUAUCAGCAACUAUUUUGUCAGCUGGUGUAGCGGUAUUCUGAAAUGUUCUCUUAUUUCUUUCUUUCCAUAUAAAGCAUAAGGGGAUAUAUGAUAAAAUAUAAAACUAUAUGAGAUUAGAAUGUCGUACAUAUUAUGUUUAUAUAUUUUGGUCAUUUCAACUAUUUUAAUUUUUAAACAAGAAUAAUUUCGAUAUUUUCAUGGGUUAGUUUGACACUUUAGUUCCAACUAUAAGGGAGUUAUAUAUAUAACUUUCGAAACUAUAGUCGGGUUAUAUGAAAAAUCGCUAAAUCACAUGUGAGUAAAAUGUAUUUUACCCUUCUUUUUAUUACUGUAAUGGAUUUCCAUUUUUUCUUCAAUUUUUUUUCUUGCUUUGUAAUGGAAUAGGCUGAUCCCUGGAGCCAAACCAUCACCAAACACCGGCCAGCAACCACAGCCUAUGACAUUAGAACCCAUACUAGUACCCAAAACAUCACAAAUUUAUCUCAAAUACUACAAAUCGUCUCCAUCAAAAUGAGCAAAAUGUCAAUUGAAAUUCAACAAACUAAGUUUUGUUCAAGUUUGUAUAAAUUGGAAAACCCACCACCAAUUGCUACUCAAAAAUUCCAAUUCACCAUGAAUCCCCAGCAUCCCACCAGAACGACAGAAAAUCAACCAAAAAUCCCGAAACCCUCAACCAUCUCAUAUAGAAUCCAGUCAAUGACCAGCGAAAUCAGAAGGAAAGAGAAAAACAAGAAAACUCAACCAUCUCUAGCUUGGCUCCAGUAUAAUUAACCUAUGUUGGAGUAGAGCCUACAAGUGCAGGGCGGUGAGGAUGGGUCUGAGAAAACUGUCGAGAGAGAGACAGAGACAGAGUUGUGCAGAGAAGUUAGGAAUACCUUUUCUUUGAUAUUAUGGCUUGGUGAAUAAUCAAGACAAAAGUGUCGAAUUUUCUCUGGAGUGGUAAUUGAAGACUUUUUGGUCUUCCAUUACCAUAGAGUCACUACCAUUAAAAUCACUGCUUGCUAGAUCAGGCAAAGUAGGGGUUUUGGCGCGGUACAUUUGGAGUCCAAAAUACUACUGGACCUGCUAUAGGGAUUAUUUGCUAAAGCUGAUGUGGUGUCCCUUCCUAUCCUUUUAAAUUAGCAUAAAAUAAAAUUAAAGAAACAUCAACUAGUAUACGCUGUCCGUGUAUAUAAAAUUUACUCUUUUAGUAUUUUCUCUAACACAAUCUUAAUGUCUUACUUUAAUUUAUCUUUUUUUUUGUUCAUUUUUUAAGUGUCAAAAUUUGAGUCAGUGUACAAAAACCAAAGCUACAGGGAUUAAUAGCUAAAUCAGGUGUGGUUGAUAGGGAUAUAAUUAUGCAUUUUAUUUGUGGUUAUUUGGUCUUAAUUUUGGCAGUAUAGUAUGCAAAGUAUUGGAUUUCUGCUCAUAAUUAGUAUUGGUGUUAAUUACAGGCAAUUAGUGUUGAAAGUGACAAAAGGGAGGCAAAAAUCCAGAAGACUCUUGCUUCUCUGGCGUGCCCACGCCAGACAACACAGAGUUGCGUGAAAAAGCCGGAUCACGGGCCCAACCCCUGGAACAACCAUUCUGAUUGGAAGAUACCUUUUUACCAUGCGUGAGAUCAGGAAACCUUAAAAGCAAGAAGUCGUUUGGCAACAAACAACUAAGAAAGUAAGAAAAAGGAAUCCUUUUGGGAAACACAGGAGAAUUGGAAACCAAUUGGAAUUGGAAAGCAAGUGCUGCGAAGACCUUUAAGUAGCAGAGGAAAUAGAAUUCGAAGAGGACUUUUGGCAACAAUCCAAUGAGGGAAAUAAGGAAACAAUCCUUGUGGGAAACAAAUUCCAAUUCAACAAGCAAAGGGAAGCGGCGGCAACACUAUAAAUAAAAGGGCAGCAAUAGACUAGGGCAUCUUCUGUCUUGGACUUGUCUUUUUGUUUUUCUUUUCUCUCUUUUUCCUCUGGAAUGCAAGUAGCAAAUAGCAGCCGACAUCUUUUACUACUUCCUCAAUCGACAAAAACUCCAUGAAAACUCUGAAUUGCUUCAUGAUUAUGCGGCAAGGCUAGUUCUUUUAUCUAGUUGAGGAAUAAAUCAAGGAUUGGAGCACCAUAACUGUGAGAUCGUUUUAAUUGUUUUAUUUUUAAUUUAUAUGUUCAUGGGUAUUUGAUUAUUCUCUAUUUUUCCCUGAGUUAUUAUUGUUUAGAUUUAUUGGAUAAUUAGGCCUGUUAUUCGAUUGUCUAAAUAAUUGAUAGCCAAUUAGGAUGUUGGCACGUAGCCUUUAAACAUCUUGAUUAGUGGCAAACGAGACAACUUCACCGCCUCGCAAGCGGUCUAAUUUGGAUCGUGGGGAUAAUUAAUCUAGCCUAAAUAAACCCGCAUGUGUGUUUGUCAUCUAGAAUUGGGUCUUUCUAAAUCCUAAUGCUGUAGCUACAUUAAAUCCUGUGAGCGUUUCUAGGGUUGUCUAGUCACAAGAGGGUAGUUUAUGAGCGUCUCUUGACUACCAUAAAAUUAAGGAAAGAUUGGUAGUUGGGCGCGUCGCUUGACCACUAUAACCAGUUUAUUCGUGAGUAUAUGAAUUGUCCCGUGUAUCUGUGAUCAGUUGUGUGCUUCGGUGCCAAGAUUAAUUCCUUGACUAGGUUGUUUAAUUAAUUGUUAUUUGUGUAGUUUGGUUCCUGCUAUCUUAAUCAACUUUAAAUUUCAGUUUUUAUUCCUUUUUAAUUAGUUGGUACUACUGCUAAAAAUCCCCCCCCCCAUUUUCCUGUGUGAUUUGCCUACCUGUUCCCUGUGGAGAUGACCCUAUUCACCACUAUACUCAUUCAGUUUUGGUAGUAGGUCUAAUAUAAAUUUUAUUUUUGGUGGUUUGACACCCACCAAAUUUUGGCGCCGUUGCCGGGGAUCUGGUGUUUUAAGUGACUUAUUGCACAGGCUUUAGUUUUUAUUUUUAUUUUUAUUAGUUUUAUUUAUUUUAUGCCUCGAUCUUCUCGUACAGAAGAAUUAGAAUUUGAUCCAGAGAUUGAGAAGACUGCAAGAAGGUUGACCAAGGAGGCAAAGUUGCGUAAGCAACAAGAUUCAACGUCACCUUCAGAAUCUAAGCAAGAGUUUGUUUCCAGUGAUUCAUCAAGUGAAUCUGAAAAAGAAGAAGUGCAUAUUCCCCGAGUAGCAAUGGCAGCCCCAAGAACUUUGAGGGAGUUGGCAACUCCUAAUGUGAACCAGCAGCCAUUAUGCAUUACAUUUCCUAACACGGAAGAGGCAUUUGAGCUUAAAUCUGGUCUUAUUCACUUACUUCCUACUUUUCUUGGUAUUGCAGGUGAAGACCCACAUAAACACUUGAAGGAAUUUCAUGUGGUGUGCUCCACAAUGAAACCUCAAGGAGUCACUGAGGACCACAUCAAAUUGAGAGCCUUCCCUUUCUCUUUGGCAGAUAAGGCUAAAGAUUGGUUAUUUUACCUGCCAUCUGGAUCCAUCACUACGUGGGAAGAAUUGAAGAGAAGAUUCCUCGAGAAAUUUUUCCCUGCCUCUAGAGCCGCCAAUAUAAGGAAAGAAAUAUGUGGAGUUAGGCAGGCAAAUGGGGAAAUUCUAUAUGAGUACUGGGAGCGCUUUAAACAACUGUGUGCCAGCUGCCCGCAUCAUCAAAUCCCUGAUCAGCUCUUAAUACAAUAUUUCUACGAGGGAUUAUGACCCAUGGAUAGGAGCAUGUUAGAUGCAGCCAGUGGCGGUGCUCUGGUUAACAAGACCACAGACGAAUCCACGUUAUUGAUCUCCACCAUGGCUGGAAAUUCCCAACAAUUUGGAGUGAGAGCUGAUGGAGCAAUAAGAAGGGUCAAUGAAGUGAAUCACUCUGACUUAGAGGGUAAACUAUCUGAGCUUACCUCUCUGGUACGUCAAAUGGCAAGAGGGCAAUUACAAUCUGUGAAGACUUGUGGUAUCUGUGCUGCUCCCAGACACAUGACUGACAUGUGCCCAACUCUCCAGGAGGAUUCACCUGAACAAGCCAACAUAGUGGAAGAUUUUUCUGGACCACCUCCACGAAGGAAUGAUCCUUUUGCACCCACUUACAAUCCAGGGUGGCGAAAUCAUCCUAACUUUAGCUAUGCUUCAAAACCCCCUGGCUUUCAACAACAUUUCCAGCCACGGCCACCAGUGCAACAACCAUCCACUUCCAAUUCAAACAUGUCUCUUGAAGAUAUGGUGAAGUCACUGGCCCAAAGCACGAGUCAAUUACAGCAAGAGACUCAAAGAUCUCAGCAGGAGUCUCACAGAUUUCAACAAGAGACUCGUGCUAGUAUUAGGAAUUUGGAAGUACAGAUGUCUCAAUUGGCAACUUCCAUGAGCAACCUGGAAAAUAGUAAUAGAGGAAAGUUACCAUCUUAAGUAAUUCCUAAUCCCAAGGAGAAUGCCAGUGCAAUGCAAUUACGGAGUGGCAAGGAGGUACAGUCUCCUAGGCGUGCCCAUGCCAAAGAAGAAGAAGUACCCAGGAAGGUGGAAGAGGAAGAUGAGAAACAAUCCUCUGAAGUCUCAAAGAAAGUUGACAUUCCUCCUCCUUUUCCUGGCAGGUUUACAAGAGCCAAAAAGGAAGAAUCUGAGCAAGAGAUUUUGGACACCUUCAGGAAAGUGGAGAUCAAUAUUCCUUUAUUGGAUGCUAUUAGGCAAUUGCCUAAAUAUGCUAAAUUUUUUAAGGGUUUAUGCACUAACCGCAAUAAGUUGAGUCUGGAUGACAAGGUGAAGGUGGGGGAGAAUGUCUCAGCGAUGUUUCAAAGGAAGUUGCCCCAGAAAUGCAAGGAUCCAGGUAUGUUUACUAUACCAUGCAUAAUUGGCAAUCAAAGAAUUGAAAAAAGCAUGCUUGACUUAGGUGCUUCAAUAAAUGUCAUGCCUCUCUCAAUUUUUAAAGUUUUGAAUUUAGGACCCCUCAAAGAAACUAGGGUAAUCAUUCAACUAGCUGAUAGGUCGAAUGUCUACCCUGAGGGCCUAGUUGAAGAUGUUCUAGUAAAGGUCAAUGAAUUCAUUUUUCCUGUGGAUUUUUACAUUGUUGAUAUGAAUGAUGCAUACUCUACUGAUUCAGUAGUGAUUCUUUUGGGUAGACCCUUCAUGAGCACAGCAAGGACUAAAAUAGAUGUACAUGAAGGGACUUUAUCUGUGGAAUUUGAUGGAGAGAAGGUCACUUUUAAUAUUUUUGAUGCAAUGAAGCAUCCUGUGGAUACUGAAUCUGUAAAUUUUGUUGGCAUGACUAACACCAUUGUGCAAGAGAAUUUUGAACAGAAUUUCAUGAGGGACAAGUUGGACUUUGUCUUACAACAAGGCAAGACCAAUUUAGAAGUGGACGACAUGGAGGAGGAGGAAGUCAAAGAAGCUAUCAUGUCCUUACAUUCACUACAUCCGCUUCCAGGCAGGUUUGAAAAUUCUUUUCUACCAUUACCCACUUCUAAUGAAAGGAUUCUACCUUCUGUUCAACAGGCACCUAAUGUGGAAUUGAAGGAACUGCCCCAGCAUUUGAAAUAUGCUUACUUGGGAGAUAACAAGACUUUGCCUGUAAUCAUUGCCAAUGAUUUAACUGCGUUGCAAGAAGAGAGGCUCUUACGGGUCUUACGGGUAUUUAAACCAGCAAUUGGAUGGACGUUAGCAGACAUCAAAGGCAUCAAUCCAUUCAUUUGCAUGCAUCACAUCCUUUGGAGUCGGACGUAAAACCCGUGAGAGAGCAUCAACGCAAGCUCAACCCCGCAAUGAAGGAGGUGGUGAUGAAAGAGAUUCUCAAACUCUUAGAAUUAGGAAUUAUUUUUCCUAUUUCUGACAGCCAGUGGGUAAGUCCAGUCCAUGUUGUUCCCAAGAAGACUGGAAUCACGUUGGUGAAAAAUGAAAAGAAUGAGUUAGUGCCAAUGAGAUUGAAAAAUGGGUGGAGAAUGUGCAUUGACUUUAGGAAGUUAAAUGCCGCAACUAGGAAAGACCACUUUCCACUCCCAUUUAUUGAUGAAAUGCUUGAGAGGUUGGUAGGUAAGUGUUUCUUUUGCUUUUUAGAUGGUUACUCUGGAUAUUAUCAAAUUAUUGUUGCUCAAGAGGACCAACAUAAAACCACUUUUACCUGCCCUUUUGGAACUUUUGCAUAUCGUCGUAUGCCUUUUGGUUUGUGUAAUGCUCCUGGAACAUUUCAAAGAUGCAUGAUGAGUAUUUUUUCUGAUAUGAUUGAUAAUUGCAUUGAAAUUUUCAUGGAUGAUUUUACAGUAUACUGUGAUUCUUUUGAUCAGUGCCUAGACCAUUUAACAAAGGUUUUGAAAAGAUGCAUUGAAACAAACUUGGUUCUUAAUUAUGAAAAAUGUCAUUUCAUGGUUAAGGAAGGCAUAGUUUUGGGCCAUGUUGUUUCAUCAAGGGGUAUUGAGGUAGAUAAGGCUAAAAUUGAUUUGAUCACUAGUCUACCUUACCCUACUAAUGUCAAGGAUAUUCGUAGUUUUCCAGGCCAUGCAGGUUUUUACAGGCGUUUCAUAAAAGAUUUUUCAAAAAUUGCUCAACCAUUGUCUCGCUUGCUUCAAAAGGAGGUGCCAUUCAACUUUGGAGAUGAUUGCAAAUUGUCCUUUGACACACUCAAGGGUAUGUUGACCACGGCACCAAUCAUCCAACCCCCAGACUGGAAGCUAUCCUUUGAGCUCAUGUGUGAUGCCAGUCAGUAUGCCGUAGGAGCUGUGCUUGGACAGCGGAGUGGGAAGUGUAGUCACGUGAUAUACUAUGCGUCAAAAACAUUGACACCAGCUCAAUGCAACUACACCACCACGGAGAAGGAGCUUCUAGCCAUUAUUUUCGCUUUUGAGAAAUUUAGAUCAUAUCUAUUGGGGUCAAAAGUAACGGUUUACUCUGAUCAUGCAGCUUUGAAGUAUCUCUUGUCAAAAAGGGAGUCCAAGCCAAGACUCAUUCGUUGAGUGCUCUUGCUGCAAGAAUUUGACUGGGAGAUCAAGGAUCGGAAAGGGGUGGAUAAUUCAGUAGCUGACCAUUUGAGUAGGUUGAUAAGAGAAGAGGAAGCAGUUCCCAUAUCUGAGGUAUUUCCUGAUGAACAUCUUUUCUAUCUCAAAGGUAAGGAACCUUGGUAUGCAGAUAUUGUGAACUUUUUGAUCAGUCAUAAAUUCCCUAUUGGCAUGAGUAAGAGUAAGAGAGAUAAGAUAGUCCAUGAUUCUCGAUACUAUAUUUGGGACGAGCCAUAUCUGUGGAAAAUAGGCUCUGAUCAAAUUAUUCGUAGAUGUGUACCUGAAAGUGAAACUCCUUCUAUCCUUGCUCAUUGUCAUAAUUAUGCAUGUGGUGGCCAUUUUGGACCUAAGAGAACUGCUAGAAAAAUCCUUGAUUGUGGCUUUUAUUGGGAAACAUUGUUUCGUGAUGCUUAUACAUUUUGUAAAAGCUGUGAAAAAUGUCAAAAAUUUGGAAGUUUGUCUCAUAGGGAUGAAAUGCCUCAAGUGCCUAUGUUAUUUUGUGAAGUGUUUGAUGUUUGGGAUAUGGACUUUAUGGGACCUUUUCCUAGCUCUUUUGGAUUUUUGUAUAUUCUGUUAGCAGUUGACUAUGUAUCGAAAUGGGUAGAAGCAAAGGCUACCCGGACUAAUGAUUCUCAAGUUGUUGUAGGAUUUCUCAAAUCUCACAUUUUUAGUAGGUUCGGGGUGCCGAGAGCCAUCAUCAGUGAUCAAGGUACCCAUUUCUGCAAUCGCACCAUUGCAUCUCUCAUGAGAAAAUAUGGAGUGCACCAUCGUGUGAGUACAACAUAUCAUCCUCAGACCAAUGGGCAAGCUGAAGUCUCCAAUCGAGAGAUCAAGAGCGUAUUGGAGAAAACGGUUAACCCCAACCGUAAGGAUUGGAGCUUGCGAUUGGAUGAUGCUUUGUGGGCAUAUCGAACCGCGUAUAAAAUGCCCAUUGGAAUGUCCCCAUAUAGGUUGGUGUUUGGUAAGAUGUGUCAUUUACCUGUGGCUAUUGAGCAUCGUGCAUUCUGGGCAGUCAAGCAAUGCAAUUUCCAUGCGGAUAGAGAUGGCAAUGAGAGAAAGUUCCAACUCCAGGAGUUGGAGGAAAUUCGUCUUGAAGCAUAUGACAAUGCACGUUUGUACAAAGAGCGUACCAAGCAGUUUCAUGACCGUUUAUUGCGUGCGAAACACUUUUUCCCAGGACAACAGGUACUCUUGUUCAAUUCACGGUUGAAAUUCAUGCCAGGUAAGUUAAAAUCUCGUUGGAUUGGACCAUAUGUGGUAGUCAAUGUUUUUCCCAAUGGUGUGGUUGAAAUCCAGAGUUUAGAGACUAAUAAGAGUUUUACAGUUAAUGGUCAUCGUUUAAAAUCGUUUGUUGAUAUUUCAGACAUUGGCACUUUGGAAGAGGUACACUUGAUAGAUCCUAUCUAUGCCUAAUUGCUCACUGUGGAGUCGUCUAGCCAAAGACGUUAAAGAAAGGCGCUUCUUGGGAGGCAACCCAAGGCCUCCAUUUUUUGUUAUAGUUCUCUUUCGUUUUUCGUUGAUUUUGGGUUGUUUUGUUUCAUUGCAAGUGUUGUUUUUGGUGUUGGGCAGGAGACUUGGAUUUACAAGGCAUGCCCACGCCCUAUAAGUGACUCCAUGAAAAGCGUAGAAAUGCUUGGGCAGAAGACUCUGCCUUAUAAGGCGUGGGCACGCCUUACAGCAACUCUGGUCCACUCUGGGGACACAGGCUUGGAUUGAAGACUUCCGCUUCCAUCUGAAGCAACGCUACACCACACCACCGUCAGAGGCUCCACGCUGCCAGUCCCUGAUACCUCCUCUACCAUGGUGUUUUGCUGUAGUUUUUUUUUCAUUCAGGGAAGUUUCUUUUGCUCCCUUCACUUGACUUCAACUUUUCAUUCUUACAUUAAGGACAAUGUAGACUUUAGGUGUGGGGGGAGUAGUCUAGCUUUUCCUUCUUAUUGCUUUUCCUUCUUCAAAAAAAAAAAAAAAAAAAAAAAAAAAAAACUUUACCAUGCCUUUUGGAUUUUUGUGGUUAGCCUUGAUAAGCAAUGGCUUGAUUUUCAAAUUUAACUAUUGUUAUGGUUUUAGAUGAUAAUAUGUUAAGUAGGAGAUGAUAAAGUUUUAGGAUGUCUCUCUGGUAAAUAUUUGAGAUUUUGUGACUCUAGCAAUUUCUUUUGAUUAACUUUUCUAGGCAUUGUAAAUAUUUGUCUGACAUUUUUGUGUGAACUGGUUCAACUAUUAAUCUUAGUUCUCCAUGUUAAGAAAAUGAAGCAGGCUUGCAAGGUUUUAAUUUUACUUGGGUGUUUAUAUGCGAAUAAUAGUCGGCUAUACUCCGUUGGUUAUCAUUGACUAGUAACCGGGGGUCUUCACCUAAAGUGUCGAUUUUCGCCUCAAAAAGCAACGAUAACUAUGAGUAUGUGGUCUUUAAGCGGUUAAAGUUGAGUAACCGGGCUCCUUCAUUGGAGAGAUGUCGGAGUUCGCGUCAAAAGACUUGAAUGGCUCAAGACUAAGCACUUCUUUCAAGAAAGAAAAAAAAAGCAAAAAAAAAAGAAAAAAAAGAAGGAAAAAGAAACAAAAAAAAAGAAAAAAAUGAGAAAGAAAAAAAAAAGAGUGUGUAUGAGCAUGAAGGUAUGUGAAUAAUUGUAUUACCUGCGGAUCCAUGAGUCUUUAUGUUGAGAUUUUGCUUAAUAGUUGGACCAGUUAUUAAAAAAAAUGUUGGUUGGAUAUUUUCUAUUCUUAGAUUAGUUAGUCUGGAUUUGAAAGAGUCAUUGGUUUCAAAAGCUAGUUGGAGAGUUAUCUCGUAAAAUUUGUCAUCAGUACUUGACAGUUAUCUAAAUUAUACAUUGGCAAUAGUUGCUUUGAUUAAUAGCCAUUGUUUUGAAUUCAACUGCUGCAAAAUGUUUGCUCGCUUGGUUGUGUAUUUAAAGUUUGAAAUGCUUGAGGACAAGCAUUGUCUUGGUGUGGGGGAAUUUGAUAGGGAUAUAAUUAUGCAUUUUAUUUGUGGUUAUUUGGUCUUAAUUUUGGCAGUAUAGUAUGCAAAGUAUUGGAUUUCUGCUCAUAAUUAGUAUUGAUGUUAAUUACAGGCAAUUAGUGUUGAAAGUGACAAAAGGGAGGCAAAAAUCCAGAAGACUCUUGCUUCUCUGGCGUGCCCACGCCGGACAACACAGAGUUGCGUGAAAAAGCCGGAUCGCGGGCCCAAGCCCUGGAACAACCAUUCUGAUUGGAAGAUACCUUUUUACCAUGCGUGAGAUCAGGAAACCUUAAAAGCAAGAAGUCGUUUGGCAACAAACAACUAAGAAAGUAAGAAAAAUGAAUCCUUUUGGGAAACACAGGAGAAUUGGAAACCAAUUGGAAUUGGAAAGCAAGUGCUGCGAAGACCUUUAAGUAGCAGAGGAAAUAGAAUUCGAAGAGAACUUUUGGCAACAAUCCAAUGAGGGAAAUAAGGAAACAAUCCUUGUGGGAAACAAAUUCCAAUUCAACAAGCAAAGGGAAGCGGCGGCAACACUAUAAAUAAAAAGGCAGCAAUAGACUAGGGCAUCUUCUGUCUUGGACUUGUCUUUUUGUUUUUCUUUUCUCUCUUUUUCCUCUGGAACGCAAGUAGCAAAUAGCAGCCGACAUCUUUUACUACUUCCUCAAUCGACAAAAACUCCAUGAAAACUCUGAAUUGCUUUAUGAUUAUACGGCAAGGCUAGUUCUUUUAUCUAGUUGAGGAAUAAAUCAAGGAUUGGAGCACCAUAACUGUGAGAUCGUUUUAAUUGUUUUAUUUUUAAUUUAUAUGUUCAUGGGUAUUUGAUUAUUCUCUAUUUUUCCCUGAGUUAUUAUUGUUUAGAUUUAUUGGAUAAUUAGGCCUGUUAUUCGAUUGUCUAAAUAAUUGAUAGCCAAUUAGGAUGUUGGCGCGUAGCCUUUAAACAUCUUGAUUAGUGGCAAACGAGACAACUUCACUGCCUCGCAAGCGGUCUAAUUUGGAUCGUGGGGAUAAUUAAUCUAGCCUAAAUAAACCCGCAUGUGUGUUUGUCAUCUAGAAUUGGGUCUUUCUAAUUCCUAAUGCUGUGGCUACAUUAAAUCCUGUGAGUGUUUCUGGGGUUGUCUAGUCACAAGAGGGUAGUUUAUGAGCGUCUCUUGACUACCAUAAAAUUAAGGAAAGAUUGGUGGUUGGGCGCGUCGCUUGACCACUAUAACCAGUUUAUUCGUGAGUGUAUGAAUUGUCCCAUGUAUCUGUGAUCAGUUGUGUGCUUCGGUGCCAAGAUUAAUUUCUUGACUAGGUUGUUCAAUUAAUUGUUAUUUGUGUAGUUUGGUUCCUGCUAUCUUAAUCAACUUUAAAUUUCAGUUUUUAUUCCUUUUUAAUUAGUUGGUACUACUGCUAAAAAUCCCCCCCAUUUUCCUGUGUGAUUUGCCUACCUGUUCCCUGUGGAGACGACCCUAUUCACCACUAUACUCAUUCAGUUUUGGUAGUAGGUCUAAUAUAAAUUUUAUUUUUGGUGGUUUGACACCCACCAGUGGUGUCCCCUUCAAGCUUUCUAAAUUAGCAUAUCAUAAAACAAAAAAAGUGUCAAUAGGUUUUUUAAUACUACUUUAAUAUACAUGCACAAAUAUGAAAACAAUCCAGUUUGUCAUCAUCCAAUGUGAUGAAAGCUACUUGAAUUUCUAAACAGAUGGUAUGCGGAACACGGCCCUUGGAGAGUACAAUUAUCUCACUUCACUUAUAGAACGACACAUUUUCUUGUAUGACUUUCCCAUCUAACAAAUAGAGCCGAAUAGAUUGACAAUCUGGUAACCGGAUCUUCAGCUGAUUGCCAUGUUAUAAAAUUAACCACAAUGACCAUUUGCCUGCUUUAAUAAUUUUAGUGUUUUUUAUGAAACUAUUUUUCUUUCAUCAAUGGAUAUUAAAAUUAAGGGUUAAUUAUAUUUACCUCCCUGAGGUAUGGCCAAACUCAAACUAAACCCUGAGACCAAACUACUGAAGAACCCUUCGAAUACACAAAAGCUUAACAAACGUUGACUGCUUGAUAUUAAACGAAAAAGUCAGUGAAUGUCCUAAACUGCUCACAAGCUUAUUCCCAUUUAAGUCUUUAACCCUUCUCUUCCUCAGGGAUUGAAACCAACAGAGUUGCAAAAUUGUUAGUUGCACAAUACUUCGUUGUUCGUGUAGAGUGGAUUUAAAUGGGCACACACUCACUAGCUGCUUAUCAAAAAUACUCCUUCUUCUUCUUCUUCUUCUAUUAAAACACUAUUUCUUCACAAAUUGUCAGCCUUAGAUUUAAUCAAAAGUAGGAAAAAGAAAGAAAAAUAAAAAACACGAAUUGCAAUACCUAUCAAAAUAUAGAUCUUGCAAUUUAACUACCAAAACCAAAUCUUUAGUUCAAAUGAUUGUCCCCUUGACGUGAGAUUUGAAUGAUGAACCCUGUUUAUGAGGUAGUGGAGAAGAGAUUCUGUGCAUUGCUCAUGAGUCGUGGCUAAGAUGGGAUAUGGUUUUGCUUGUGAUUUUUGUGGUAUCAAAUUUUGCUGACUUCUUGUUUCUAUUUUGUCAGCUUUGCUUCUCUUGAAUGUGUACAAAGAAUUGGGUUGCCACGAUUUGGUUUUGUAUACGGCAAUUAUAUGUCUAUUUUUUGUGGGUUUUUAAGGGAGAGGAUAGAAAACGUAGGUUAUGGUGUUAAAAGAUGAAUGAAUUUGCAAUAGUUUGAAAUUGGGAGUGUGUUAGAGAUGAGUGAUAACUUGAAGAUAAGAACAGGAGCCAUUAAGGUUUCGAGGAGUUCGAUGAGAUCUAUGGACAGCAGGAAAUCUUUUUCUUUGUUAAUUUUUUUAUUCUUUCCCGUAUCUAACAACGAGUUUACUUGUUUUUUAUGCAAUGAGUUUCAAGUCAGACUAAUUUUUCUUUGUAUGUUAAGUUUCUGAUUAAUUUUUCUUUUGUAUUUGAACUUCCUUUUUAUUAUUUUCUGCAAUUUCCAUAGUUAUAUUUUCAUUUAUCUAUCAAUUUUUAAAGUUUAGGUAUUGGGAUAAAGAUUUAUUUUGCUCAAUUAUCUUUAUGUUUUCUCCAUUAAACUCUCUCAAUUUUUGUUUUUGCAACUUUUUCUUUUUUUUUGUGAAUUUUAUUUAUUGUUGUCAGUAGAGGGUAAAUUUGUCAUUUUAUUUGUUCUAUUUAUUGGCUCUUGAUAGUAUUAUUGACAAGGAAGGCAAAUGUAAUUUAGUUAAACCUCAAGAUUUGAUUCAUAGUUUGGUCAAACCUUAACGGAGACAAAUGUAAUUAACCCCAAAAUUAACCCACAAGGCCCUUUAGCCCAUUUUAAUAACUUAAUUUAUAUUUGACUAGACUAUUUUACUUCGAUCAAAAGAAAGUUUGAAGAGUCCAGUGAUGCACAUGCCAUUGUUAGCCCUAAAUAAAUAAGGGAUAAUUUUAGAAACCUCCCCUGAGGUUUUCAAUAAUUUCACUCGCCCCUCUUGAAAUUUACAUAAUUACAGAAACCUCCCUUGAUGUAAUAAAAAGACAAUAAUGCCCUUUAUUAAUUGUCAACUCAUUGAAAAACUCUAUUAAAUAUUAAAGCUCUUUCAUCUAUUAUCAAUCAAUAAUUCAAACUAUAGUUUUUCUCAUUUAACUAUCUAUCCUCUUUCUCCUACAUCCAUUUUCCUUUUAAAAUCAUUUAUUUAUUAUUAUCAACCAAAUGUGUACUGUCGCCACUAAUAAAAUCAUUUUAUUCACCAAACCACCAAUAUGUACAUAUCUUGGUAUAUAUUUAUAACUACAUUGGUAUAUAUUUAUAUCUUACCAUGAAAACAAAAUGUUCUUGGUAUAUAUAUUUAUAUCAGCAUUGUGUUUCUAUUGUUGAUUUAUAAUUAUUGAUGUUAUUCCUAUAUAGAGAAUUUGAUUGAUUUUAAACUCUGUGCCAAUGGAGAACAAACUACCAUGUAAGACAUGAAACUAUCAAUAAUUAGCAAUUAACUGUGGCAAGAUGUACACUUCUCAAUUUAGCAUUAUUCCAAGUAGAAGAGGCAAAGCCAUAUGAAUUUGAAAAGGGACAUAUAGAUAGCUGGGGGAGAUGGAAAGCAAGUUUUAUAGUGAAUAUUGGGCUAAUAGAUAAUAUGAUAGCACUUAGCAGAGCUGUGGGGAGUACUCAAAAGGAUAAAAAUGGCUUGGAACUCUGGAGAAAGAAGAGUGAUUCUGGACACGAAUUGCAAGGCAGCUUUGGAACUAAUACAAGGAGCAGGACAGGACUCACCACUAUACAAUCUAACAUGUCAGAUCAGGAAUGUUUUAAGCAGGGGUCGGGAAUCCUGGCAACAACAUGUUUGGAGAAAGAAGUAAGUGUGCAGACUAGCUAGCUAAAAGUAGUGUCAACAAAGAAUCUGGGAUGCAGAUUAUAACAGAACCGCCACAGGAACUUAGUGAAUAGCAUGGUGCAAAUAUUUUAGGGGCUGCGACCCUAUGUUUUGUUUCUGUUUAAGAGGUUUGACCUCUCCCUUGUAAACUUAACAAAAGGAACAUACUAGGCAGAGAAGUAAAUGCGGUCAACACAUUUGCAAGCAAAACAUUUUGGCCAAAGCACCUUUGCCCUUAAAAAAUAGUGAAACAUGUGAAAUUCAGCACAAGUAAGGCUAACAAGUAUAUUCUGGAGAAUCAUGGACUCUCAAAACAUACCAUAAGAAGUUGUCCAUGCUGUUCUAAUAACAUUCCUAGUUCAUGAAUUUUUACGGAGGAAGAUCUUUUUUCACAUCAAAACUAAUUGAUGAGUUUUGGUCCUCUUUCCAAGCUCUUCCAAAGUGAUACUAGUACAAGUCCUUAAGUAGACUUGAGAUGCAGCCUUAGAACAAUAUCACCAGAUUUCUCAGUCACCAGAUGCAACACCUUAGACUUGAGAUGCAACCUUAGAGGUUUGUGUUCUAGAAUAAAUUUAUAAGUUAGCAGAAAAAAAAAGUCUACAGUAUCUCAACUUGCAGGACUACAACCAUAGCUAAUAUACAGCUUUUAAGGCAAAGUACAAAUGCAAUGAUUGGAGCAACUUGUCCAGGUUUCUAAAAAAAUAAAUAAAUGGAAACAAAGGAAAUGAGAGUCGAUUUGUGAGUGUGCACAUUUACACAAAGAUAGAGCACUUCCAACAGGAAAACAUUAGGAAAGAGCUUGAAGUCUUGACAGACAUAUUUCAAUCACCUCAAUUCAAGAAACAUUCAAGGCUGCUUUUGAACUAGACUAAGUGCAUGGAUCUAAACGAGUUGAAUUUUGAAGUGAAAAAAAUGUUGCUUUUGAAAAGCAUUCAAAUCUGUAGAAUUUACUCUUACUACCUUAAUUGUAAUGCAUUUAGCUCUAUAAACAACACCACAAUGAUGAUUUGUAGACGAUUUAAGUAAAACUGAAAAGGGGAUGCUUUGAGCACUACCAGGAAUUGCUGAAAAGGGGACGCUUUGCAGUUUAAUGUGAAAUUAAAACCAAAAAAUAAAAUAAACCAAGCGCUUGAAAAUAGAAUAACCAAGAAUUUGAUAAAAUCUUAAAGAAACAUACAAUCUAAAUUUUUUUAGAAAGUAAAAUCCAACGGUUUCAGAGAAUAAUAUAUCAAACCCAAUAAAGAACAAAAUCUUCAAAAUAAGAACAUGCUGCUAAUGUUCAAUUAAACUAGUAACAAUAAAGUUUAUAAAAAAAGGGGGGAGAAUUUCCCUCAGUCACCGCCGGCUUGGUGCAGGUGUUCUUCUUGCGCUUCUUGGCGCCACCAUCGAGGUGGAGGACAAGGUAGAGGGCUGACUCCUUCCGGAUGUUGUAGUCGACUAGGGUGCGGCUGUCCUCGAGCUGCUUGCCAGUGAAGAUAAGCUACUGCUGGUCCGGGGAUGCCCUCCUUGUCCUGGGCAGAAUUUUUUUUUAAAAAAAAAUUAGGGCAAUAAAAUUUGGGGAGAAAAUGAAACAAUUGAUCAUCUAAGUAGGGUAGAAAAGGUGAUUGCAAAUGAUGGUGAUUGCUAAUUAGGGUAAGAAACUUUGGGGAAACUAGACAAAUGAUAGAGAAGAAGAGAAUUUACGCAAAAAUUGAAUGUUGGGAACACAAAAUCGGGUCAAUAAAAAUUGGGGGAAAUUGAUUACUAAGCAAGAAGAGAGAAACUUGCCAUUUUACAGCACAUGCUCUGAGGAAACAUAUCAAAAUCAGUAGCCCAACAAGGAGGAAUGCUCGAGCAUUAGUGAGAAAGAAAUUGAGAGGGGUCGAAGUGAGAGAGAGACCAAGAGAGACAGUGAGAAGGCCAGCGAGUGAAAAUGUGAGAAUUAGAAGUGUAUCAGACUUAGCCCAAAAGUGGUAGACUUGUACUCUUUCAUUUUGAAAUUUGCUUUUUAAAGAAUGCCUCCACCAAUUUUCAAUUCUCGCUGUUUCUUUUUCAUUUUGAACGAAAAAUUUGAUCCAAUUUUUAGUUUUAUCUUUUUAUUUAGAUUCUCAAAGAAAGGUUAUUUUCUUUGUAUUAAAUUAAACAUUUUAAUUAAGUAUAUUAGAUCGGGAAUCUACUUUCAUAUUAUUUUAAGAAAUAAUUCAUUAUUUUUAAACAUGAAAAAAGAAAAAUCUUAAUUAUGUGUUAAGAACUUUCUAUCAGUUUCUAGAAAAUUUUGUUAGUUUUGUCUAAUAGUACUAUAUUUUUUUAGAUGUUUUAUAUUGAAGAAUCAUGAAUGUAAACUUGCACGAAACUAUAGUAUACGUAUUGAUUUGUAAGAAAAAUAUGUAUUCGUUUUGACUUUUAGCAAAUAAACAUUAAAUUUGAAGGAAUUGCAGUAAUUAGUAGUCCUGAUUUCAUUACUUAACUUAUAUAACACAACUAAUUCUGCUUUUCAUUAAAAUGAAUUUGUACUUAAUGAGUUUCAACAUUUGACCAAUUAGAUGUCAAGGAGCCAUUGACAGUACCCAAAAUUAAGGUAUUUGAAUUUAGAGGCCUUGAGUUCUAAUUGUAAUAGUUUAUAUAGUUGUUCUAACUAAAAACUUUCAUUAAUUUUUUUCAGUUAAAAACUUAUUGAGUAACUAUGACUAGUUUAAUAAAUUAUCAAAUUUUAAAAAAUUUAAAUUAAUAUUUAAGUAACUAUGACUAGUUUAAUAAAUCAUCAAAUUUAAAAAAAAUUAAAUUAAUAUUGAGUCUCACAAUUAAAUAAAGUCAUAGUUAAUAAAUCAUCAAACUUUAAAAAAAUUUAAAUUAAUAUUGAGGCUAACAAUUAAAUAAAUGCAUUAGAGAUGUUCAAAUUAGUGAUGAUACUUAUGUUGUCACUAACUAUACUAUAGUUUUACUGACAAAAAUUGGUCGUCAAUAAACAUAAACAGUGAUAAUAAUGAAAAGUUGUCAAAGAAAGUGGUAGAAUUACUGAUAACUUUUAUCAAGUCGUCACUAUCGCAAAACUCACGCCUUCCAAGUCCCAUGGCGCGAAAUAGUUUUGUGACGACAAUUAAAGGUUGUCACUGAAAACUCAGUUGCUUUGAGUCAAUUGUGACAACCUUCAAAGUCGUGACUAAACAACCUCAUUUUGUGACGACUUUGUGUCGUCACAAAGAAAUGUUGUCACUAAUGACCUUUUUUCUUGUAGUGGCAAUAUUCCUACUAUGAACAAAAAAUAUUAAAAACCGUAGGAAAGUGGUUCCUAGGCUAAUAAGGCACUUACAAAAGAGUUUAGAAAAUAUUUCUAAACUCAAAACAAGAGAGCCUAAAAUAUUUGACUAAAUGGGUUAGAUGACUCAAGAAACUAAUAGCCCAUAUAACUCUCUUGAGUGGUGCACCUAAAACCUUCAAUAGGCUUCUUUAUUUAUAGGAAACCAAAGGAAGAAUUCCUUUGGCUUCUAUUGAUGUGAGACGAAGCAGAAAACGCGUUUGUUGACCAGCGCGUCAUUCAACAAAUCUCCACCUUGAUGAGUCCCCCAACAUCGAGAGAUUAUAAACUUGCUUCACCUUCUCCAAAUAAGCCCCAAUGGGCAUAAAUCACCAACAAUAAAUAUCAAUCAAGUCCAAGCGUUGCUUAAACUUGUAAAUUGAAAGAGAUUUUAUAAACAUAUCGGCUAGAUUGUUCUUAGUAUUGAUUUUCUGAAUAAGGACUUUUCCCUCAGCAAUGAUAUCCCGAAUGAAGUGAUACUUCACAUCAAUGUGUUUCGUCCUCUCAUGAUACAUCUGAUCUUUAGUCAAGUGUAUGGCACUUUGACUAUCAUAGUGAAUAUCAGUAACACCUUGAUAUAGACUUAACUCGCUAAAUAAACUCUUCAACCACAAGGCUUCUUUGAUUGCCUCGAUCAAAGCCAUAUAUUCUGCUUUUGUAGUAGACAAAGCUACGACAGGCUGUAGAGUAGCUUUCCAACUAAUAGCACAACCGCCAAUGCAAAAUACAUAGUCUGAAAGUGAUCUUCUCCUGUCAAGAUCUCCAGCGUAGUCUGAGUCUACAAAAUCAACCAAAGUGUUAUUAUUUCUUCCAAACUCCAAACAUGCAUUUGAAAUACCUCGCAAGUAUUUGAAAAUCCACUUCACAGCCUGCCAAUAUGCUUUAUCGGGGCAAGACAUAUAUCUGCUAACAACACUGACUGCAUGUGAGAUAUCUAGACGAGUACAAACCAUUGCAUGCAUAACACUGCCAACUGCACUGGAAUAAGGAACCCGUGCCAUAUAAUCUUCCUCUUCAUCUGAUUGUGGUGAUUGAGCAGCAGAUAACCGAAAAUGGCUAGCAAGAGGAGUAGAUACUGGUUUAGCAUCUUUCAUGCCAAAACGCUCCAAGACCUUCUCAAGGUAAUUUUUCUGGGUCAAGAACAACUUCCCUACUCCUCGAUCUCGAUUGAUAUCCAUGCCAAGAAUUUUCUUAGCUGCUCCUAAAUCUUUCAUUUCAAAUUCACUAUUUAACUACAGUUUCAAAGUGUGAAUUUCUGACAAAUUCUUGGCAGCAAUGAGCAUAUCAUCAACAUAAAGUAGCAAAUAAAUGAAAAAAUCAUCAUUUAACUUCCGGAAAUAAACACAACUAUCAUACAUGCUCCUUGAAUAAUCAUGACCCAACAUAAAGGAAUCAAACCUUUUAUACCAUUGUUUUGGAGACUGUUCAAUCCAUAUAAGGAUUUCUUCAACAAGCAAACAUGGUUUUUCUUACCUUCAAUCUCAAAACUCUGGGGUUGUUUCAUAUAAAUUUGUUCCUCAAGUUCGCCAUGCAAGAAAGCUGUCUUAACAUCAAGCUGCUCUAAUUCCAAAUCAUACAUGGCAACUAAAGCAAGCAAAACACGAAUAGAGCUAUGUUUAACAACAGGUGAAAAAACUUCAUUAAAAUCAACACCUUGUACCUGACUAUAGUCUUUUGCAACUAAUCGUGCUUUAUACCUUGUAUCUUCAACCCCUGGAAUACCUUUCUUUUUCUUGAAAAUCCAUUUGCAUCCAACAAUUUUCUUCGCUGACGGCGGCUUUACAAGAACCCAAGUUUCAUUCUGAUGAAGAGAUUCAAUUUCUUCAUUCAUCGCAAUCAACCACUUUGCAGAAUCAUCACAAGAAACUGCUUCUGAAUAGGUGAAAGGCUCACCAAUUGCAUCAGUUUCUUCUGCAAUAGACAAAGCAUACGCAACUAAAUUUGCAUAUCUUUGUAGUGGUCGAAUGUCUCUCCUUGCUCUAUCUCUGGUUAUGAAAUACUCUUCUUCUUCUGAACUAUCUUCAAUAGUAGAUUCAGGUACAUCUACUGGCAUUUGUUAAAUAGAAGAUUUGGUCUAAGAAGGACCAGAACUGCCAAUAUCAAGCUCCACCUGCUUCUGUGUACUAUCAGUAGUACAAGGACUAGAAGACUCCUUCUUAGAAAAAAAUAUAGAUAAUUCAUCAAAAGUAACAUCUCUACUGAUUACAAAUUUUGGAGAUUUGGGAUCAGGAUACCAUAAUCUGUAUCCUUUCACCCCAGAAGUAUACCCAAGAAAAAUGCACUUUUUAGCUCUAGAUUCCAAUUUUUCAUCAUUCAUGUGUAUGUAUGCUGGACACCCAAAAACUUUUAAAUUGGAGUAAUCAGCAGGAGUACCUGACCAAACUUCCUCAGAAGUUUUGAAACCAAGAGAUGCAGAAGGAGAACGGUUGACAAUAUAACAGGCCAUAUUGAUCGCCUCUGUCCAAAAGUCAUUUGUCAACCGUGCAUUGGAGAUCAUAUAUCUUGCUCUCUCCAAAAGCGAUCUGUUCAUACGUUCAGCCACACUAUUUUGUUGAGGCGUCAUCCUGAUGGUGUGAUGCCGAACAGUUCCUUCAUUUUUGCAAAAUCUAUCAAAUUCACCUCCACAAAAUUUCAUGCCAUUAUUUGUUCUCAACCGCUUAAUAUGUUUUUCUGUUUGCUUCUCAAUCAAAACUUUCCAUUGCUUGAAAGUUAGGAAAACAUCAUUUUUAUAUUUAAGAAAAUAGACCCAAACUUUCCUUGAAUAAUCAUCAAUGAAAGUCAACAUGUACCUGACACCACCUUUAGAAGGAGCACGAGAAGAACCCCAUAGAUCUGAAUGAAUGUAAUCAAGAGUACCUUUUGUCUUGUGAAUUACUGGUGAACUGAAGCUGACUCUUUUCUACUUCCCAAAAAUACAAUGUUUACAGAAUUCCAAUGGCCCGGUACUUUGUCCACAAUGAAGUCCUCUUUUGCUCAGUAUGCCCAAGCCUUUUUUGCUCAUGUGCCCCAAACGCAUAUGCCAGAAUUUGGUGAUGACUGUAUCUAACAAAAAUAAUGUUGAAACAGCAGCAGCACCUGUAACAGUAGAUCCCUGCAAAAUAUACAAAGUACCAGAUCUGUGUGCCUUCAUAACAACAAUAGCACCUCGAGUGAUUUUGAGAACUCCUUCUCCACCUGGAUACCUGCACCGAAUAGACUCAAGAGUGCCCACAGAGAUGAGAUUUUUCUUCAAAUCUGGAACAUGUCUAACAUCUGUGAGCGUCCUCACAAUACCAUCGUACAUUUUAAUCCGGAUUGUGCCUUUACCAACAACUUUACAAACGGCGUUGUUACCCGUUAAGACAACUCCACAUUCAGUUGAUUCAUAUGUUAAAAACCAGUCCCUAUUGGGACACAUAUGAUAUGAAUAACCCGAAUCUAAAAUCCACUCAUUGUUAGACCUAAAAAUAUUUUUCGUUGUAUAGAAAAUGGUUCCAUCAUUCUCAUCAGCUGCUAUACUAGUUUCAGCGGAUUCAGUAUUUUUCUCAACAAAUCUCCCUUUUUGCUUUUCUUUAUUUUUCAGUUUAAAACAAUCAGAGAUAACAUGACCCUUUUUUUUACAAUAGUUGCACACCACAUUUUUAUGUCUGGACUUGGAUCUACUUUUAUUUUCUGUAUUUCUCUUUUCAGAUCUACCCCGAACAAACAAGCCAUCGGCUUGACUUCCACUAGUUUCCCCAGUAAUAUCCCUAUCUAUCUGCUUUUUAGAUUUUAAUACAGAUUUAAUUUUUCGAUACGAAAUUGUUUCCUUUCCAUAAAUCAUAGUAUCACGGAAAUGCUUAAAGGACUGGGGAAGGGAACACAAAAGUAAUAGGGUUUGAUCUUCAUCAUCAAUUUUCGAAUAUAUAUUCUCCAAAUCCAUAAUAAUGGAAUCAAAUUUAUCAAGAUGGGAGAGUAUAGAUUUACUUUCAGACAUUCGAAACAUAUACAGGCUCUGCUUCAAAUAUAGCCGAUUCUCGACUGUCUUCUUCAUAUACAAGGCUUUCAAUUUAUCCCACAUAGCCUUGGCCGAAGUCUCCAUUGCUACCUCACGCAAUACCUCAUCGGAGAGAUUUAAGAUUAUGCUGGAUCUGAUCUUCUUAUCCAUAUCGGCGAAAUCUGCAUCCUUUACAUCUUCUGGCUUUUUCUCAAUUCCUUGAAUUGCCAAAUCAACUUCGUCUUGAACAAGAAUGGCCUCCAUCUUGAGCUGCCACAUGCCGAAGUUAACAUUCCUGUCGAAUUUCUCGACAACCAUCUUUGUUAUCGUUAUUGUUGCCACAAAAUCUAUAACUUGAAACUUGUCUCAAAAAAAACUGGUCAAACAGAUAUGCAAGUCUCGUGAAUGGGCCCAUAGGAUAAGCGGGCCCCACGAGAUAAGCAGGCCCCAAGGGAUGAACCCACAAGGUGAGUGGACCCCAUGAGAUGAACGGGCCCCACAAGGUAAGCGGGCCCUACAAAUAAACGGGCCCCACAAGAUGAGUGGGCCCCAUAUGAUGAACCGGACCCACCAGAUGAACGGGCUUCACCAGAUGAACGGGUUUCACCAGAUGAACCUGUCUUGCAAAAUAUAACAAUCAACUCUGAUACCAGUUUGUUAGGACCGGUCCAGGAACAAACAAACCAGAGUUAGUACAAAUUAGGCGAUAAAACCGACCAUAUAAAAGGGUUGCACCAACCUAAUAAAAGCAAAUAAUAAAGCAAAUAAAAGACACAAAAGAUUUACGUGGUACGAUCAAAUUGACCUACGUCCACGGGCGAGGGAGGAGCAAUAUUUCUACUAUGAAGAAAAAAUAUUAAAAGCCGUAGGAAAGUGGUUCCUAUACUAAUAAGGCACUUACAAAAGAGUUUAGAAAAUAUUUCUAAACUCAAAACAAGAGAGUCUAAAAUAUUUGACUAAAUAGAUUAGAUGACUCAAAAAUCUAAUAGCCCAUAUAACUCUCUUGAGUGGUGCACCUAAAACCUUCAAUAGGUUUCCUUAUUUAUAGGAAACCUCCUUUGGCUUCUAUUGAUGUGGGACGAAGCAGAAAACGCGUUUGUUGACCAGCGCGUCAUUCAACAUACACGAAUAUUAAUUAGAUAUAAUGUCAUUGUUUCAAAAUUGAAUAAGUAAUUUACAUUGAGUUACAUUUUGUUUAGAAAGUGUUGUACAACUUAGGCAAGUUAAGAACUGAAAAUCUUUUUCAGUUUUUUGUCCCUCAUGUUUAUCCGUUCUUUCUUCAACUUACAUUCAGCUGUAAUCGCUGAAUUUAAAGUGGAAGCGAUGCAUGUACUUCAACAAUGUCGGAAACAGUUACUGUCCUUAGCUACCUCAACUCCACACCAUUUAUACAUAAUGUGCUUGCUGUAUAUCCCAGGCUGGGAUUUGGACACAUUCCAGUGUUGGAUUGUGGUGGGGUUUAAUACCAAAUCAAUGGAUUAAACCCAUUAUAUAAAGGAGGCAAACGAACAAUUUUAUUAUGCUCAAAAUAUAUAUAACAACAACACACAAAAUAAAUUUAUAUUGGACACUAAUUAUUGAACCUCACUCUCGAGAAUAUUGCUCUAAUUUAUCAGAGGCUCACUCUUGAGAUAUCUGCUCAAACACUCACUCCACAAUUGAACUCGUUCAUUUCCUAUCUUUCACUUGAGCUUUGGUGCCCUUCAACUGAGGAAAUGGCAUUAUUUAUACUAGUAAGGAUCCUACAAGCGGCUGUAAUUUUUCUCUUCUCAUUCAAUGCCCAAUUGCCAGAAAAUCUGGUGAACUUUGCAAGUAAAUCUGGUUCAAGAUACAAGCACGAACCAAAUUGAUCAGCCGCCCACGUUCAGCUUCAAGAUGGACUUUGGCAAUUUGUCUAUUGCCAAUAAAUGAGUAAAACAAACACUCCAAAGCCAUAAAUUUAUUCUGAACACCCUAACUAAAGGUUCAUCACUUUUUAGCACAAACAACAUUUUCAAAAGACAUAUUAAUUAAUUAAUAAUAAACCUCAAUGAUAGAUCUCAAGCCCAAUACUGCAGUUAUCUUAUAGUCACAGAAGCCUGCCUCAGAGAAAAGUUUCGCCCAAUCUUUCUCAUUUCUUUGCCUUCCUUUGACUAGAACCAUCGCCCCCAUAUCAUAGAACAGUUGGGUCUCAAUCGCCUCAUGAUCAUCAUCCCCUUUCUGCUGGCUUUU
rnacentral:lncRNA from 1 species